UUGAUUCCUUCAGUGUGACCAAACUCACCUGCAGAUGAUACCUGACCGUUAGCAUCUCCCUCUCUUAAAUUCACUUUCUUGAAGGAUCAUCCUACCUUAAAAUUUCUGAGAAGAUCACUGACGUGCCAUGUGGUUUUUCAGAUAUCACUGGCAUCCCUAACAUUAUCUGAUCAUACAACUUAUUCUUGGUACAAAUUCUACAGCUUCUUACAGUUUUGAGAUACCUUACUUUCAUAUAAUUUGGGGAUUUAUAAAAAAAAAAAAAAAUUCCCUUUUCCAAUGAAGUUUUUCCCCAAUUUUAUGGGGCAUAAUCUAAAAAAAAGAUCCCAAC
rnacentral:misc_RNA from 1 species